rnacentral:lncRNA from 1 species
GAUGUGAACUGGGCCUGAGCCCUGACCUAGAGUGAGGAAACCGUUGCUAGUGAAAACCAGGUCUCCUGGAGACUUCCCUCCCUACAGAUGACAGAAAGAGAUUGUAGUUGAGGUCAGGCUGUCCCUGUUAGAUUUAACCAUGGAGACAUCCCCCCUUGAUGUAUAACCUUCAUUUCCCCGCCUUUAACCUUAAUUGUUUGUUCUCCUAGCACCUACUUGUUGUAAAACUCAAUCAUAUACAACAAAGAGGUUACUAACACAUAAUCAGUCACGUAGUUGGGAGGUAUAAAACUGGGCCUCUCAGAAACAUCAGGGUCCUUGUUGGGAACUGAUUCCCCUUGGACCCGCUGGCAUGAUAAACUGUACUCCACUGUCUUGAGUGUCCUCUGACAUGUGUUUUGUGACUUCAGAUUCCACAGCAUUUCUGGUGCAUCGGCCAGGAAGCCGUUGGAGAGACAGGCCCAUUGAGCCUCUGCCUGCCACUCACUGGGAUGAGAGCCUCUGGGAGGAGAAGGUGCCUCCCACUCCAGAUCGGCUUUGUUUUAGUGACUUAUCCUUCCAGGUGGACUUCACAAGACUGUGGGCAACAGAAGGGAAGCGUGCAGGGCCUGUCCCCUUUGCCUCGGGACUCAGGGACCUCGAGCUUUGCUUGGGGUUGGAUUGGGAACUGUGGUUUUGGACGCAUGUUUGCCUGCACCAACCAGUGAUAAGACAGUCUUGGAUUUCACAAGGAUCAGAUUUGUGCAGAGAAGAGUAG